CAGCAGCCGCCGCGGGAAUACGGAGGGGGCUAGCGUUGUACGGAAUUACUGGGCGUAAAGCGCACGUAGGCGGCUUGGUAAGUUAGAGGUGAAAGCCUGGAGCUCAACUCCAGAAUUGCCUUUAAGACUGCCGAGCUAGCAGGUGAGAGAGGUAAGUGGAAUUCCGAGUGUAGAGGUGAAAUUCGUAGAUAUUCGGAAGAACACCAGUGGCGAAGGCGGCUUACUGGCUUAUACUGGACGCUGAGGUGCGAAAGCGUGGGGAGCAAACAGGAUUAGAUACCCCGGUAGUCCCUGUCUCUUAUAA
rnacentral:rRNA from 1 species